GGCUAGGUUUUCUCCUAUGGUAUCUUCUAAAAGUCUUAUAGUUUUGCAUUUUACACUUAGAUCUAUGGUCCAUUUGGAAUUAAUUUCUGUGAAAGGUAUAAGGUCUGCAUCUAGAUUCAUUUUUGUGCAUGUGGAUAUCCAGUUGUUCCAGCAUAAAAUCUGAAUUUUUAUGUGAGGA